rnacentral:tRNA from 1 species
GGAAGCGUCGCCUAGCGGCUAUGGCAACAGUCUUGAAAACUGUCGGGGCAACCCAUCGUGAGUUCGAGUCUCACCGCUUCCG